CGCGGGCGGCGCGGACUGGGAGCGGCGCGGCGCGGACGGCGUGGACCGACAGCAGCAAGCAGGUCGCGGACGGUUCCGGUAUCAACCCGAAGUCUCCUCCCUUCUGCUCCAGACGGCGGGUACUUCUAAAGUCGAGGGAGCCUGACCAGAGCGCUCUCUGGUCAGGGCAGGACGCGGGCCAGGAGGAAACUCAUACCCAGAGCUGCCUUCAGAAAGAAACCCAGAUUCAACCUAAAGUUACCUCGGUUGUUUAAUACACCUCUUCAAAAAUAAUUUUUUGAAUGUUUCUGUUUUGAGUAUGGACAGUGCUACACGCUGAUUUGGGGACCUGGCAGCCAUGAGCGGGUGGGCUCUGCCCUUGCAAGCCCACGUUAACCAGGCUGUACGCACAAGGUGAAUUCUUCUUCCCAGCUGAGGUCGGUGGUGUUUGUCGCGAGGGCGCUGAACUUCUGAAUGGGAUCGUUCAGCCGAACCAUACACUGUGGGUUAAUGUUGCCUGCAAUCAAACAAAGGGGCAUUUCUAUUUUUUAAAUUGCGUUAUGCGCAUACACAUUUUGCAUAUAACGGGCUGAAUUAAACGCCUGACGUCUU